GCUAGUUAGUGAGCACCUUGCAGACACACAGGAUGUACUUCUCCAAGAUGGUGCAAUGGAGCAGAAACAGCUCAUGUCCCUAAUAAGAAGCCACGAGGGACCUCAUUGCUUAUUGAAGAGUCUUGCAGCAUACUUUGUUCGUUGGUCUUUUCUUAAUGGUUGGCUAUUUCUCCUCCAAUUCAAGGUAAGCAGAUAACUUGUUAUGAUUACUUAAAUUAAAGAGAAGAGGCCAAAGAGGAGAAAUGGGAGAUGAGGAGAAAGAAGAGUUGGGGGAGAUGGAGGGAUGGAAAGAAAGAAAGAGGAGAAGAAAAGAGGAUAAAGAAAAUGUGGAAUAAGAAGGGGAAGAAGAGGAGGAGAGGGAGGAGAUAGGGGGGUGAAGAAAGUGAGGAAGAGGAGGAGGACAAGGAGGAGGAUAGAAAGAAGGAGGAGGAAGAAGGAAGGAGAGAGGAGGUAGAGAAGGAGAAGGAGUUUGUCCCUUUACCCUCUCCAAGUUGAGAUCCCUACUUUCAGCUGAUCUCUCUAAACACAGUCAUUAGUCAAUUGGUUUUAACAUGGGCAUAAAGAUUGAUAUCUACCAUGGUGACAAAGAAGAAAUCCUUUAAUUCACACAAAUUAUAAGCUGAUGACUUGAUUAAGAAGCCUCAUUGUUUCAACUUUGGGAAAGUGAAGUGUUUUUUGAACUACUAACGUGAAAUGUAAGUCACAGUUGGUGACUCUCAUCUCUCUCUUGCUCUUUUCUUGCUUUCUCCCUUUGUCUUUACCAACCACCCACUGAUCUAAGUCAUUCUUGAACACGAUUAUGAGUGUUUUCAUACAUAUGUGAUGCAUUGAGUAACUGAAUGGAUCCCAUCUGGGAGAUAUAUAAAGUGGACACUGAAGUGACUCAUCAGGCAGCUGCAGAGAAUACACAGAUGAGAAUGGCAGGGAACUCCACCAUGAAGAUGCUGAGCAUCAUCCACACCAUUUCCAGAAGAUGGAAAAAGCCACAUGACUGUGGAACAGUAAGUGUCCCUUUUGAAAUGUACAUGUUACAAAAAACAUAAAAAGAAAAUCCUUUUAAAAACUCAGUGAAUUUGAGACUGUUAUAAUCAGAAAUAAUUAGAAUACAAAAUGCAGCAGCAUUUUAAGGGAUUCACCAAUUGACGGUUACUUAUAUUUUAUUUUGUUUCUCAGCCACAAAAUUGAGGAAGAGUUUGAAGCUCACGGCUGCCAGAGUGAAACCUUGGGCUCUGGUAUUAGCUGCCUUGUACAUGGCUGAUUGGAACACAAAGGAAAAUAAUCUUGUAAGUUGUUGAUGAAAACAAGACUACUUGAAAUUUUAAUAUGAAAAACAUCCUUCAUUGUCUGGCCUAUCAAAUAUUUAAUGGUUCUAAACUUCAAGUUAUUCUGAGAACAAGAUAGGAUAAUAAUGUAUAAGUCACAAAAUUAAAAUUGUCAAGUGGGUGAUGUAUGAUGAAGUGUAUAAGCACAUGCACAGAAAAAAAUUAUACAACUUAAUUGACAUUAAUAAAUAAAUGAGGAGUUCCAGAAGAGUCUUUGUUGGCCUGUGACUAUGUUAGUCAACCUGAAAUCAAUC
rnacentral:lncRNA from 1 species